rnacentral:lncRNA from 1 species
UUCCUUCUCUUCCUUUUCCCUCUUCUUUCUUCUUCUCCUCUCUCCUAUUUUUCUUCCUCUUCUUCAUCUUCUUCUUCUUAUUCACUUGGUAUCUAGCUAACUACUAACAACUAAAGACUAACAUAACUAACAACUAACAUAAUAACAACUAACCUAACUAACAACUAACAACUAACACGAACAACAUGCAAAAUUUAAAUGGGAAUUACAACUAACAACUAACUAACUAACCUAAUUAAUAGUAGGUAAUUAACAACUAACCUAACUAACGUAAUUAACAAAUUAAAUGAAAAA